AAAAGGUCAAAGGUCAACUUUAACAUUAAAAGGUGUUCAAACAAGUACAAGAUAUUUACAAUAAACAGACCUCAGUGCAAGAAAGUGUCUUUCCAACACUGAAAAGGUCAAAGGUCAACUUUAACAUUAAAAGGUGGUCAAACAAGUACAAGAUAUUUACAAUAAGCAGACCUCAGUGCAAGAAAGUGUCUUUCCAACACUGAAAAGGUCAAAGGUCAACUUUAACAUUAAAAGGUGGUCAAACAAGUACAAGAUAUUUACAAUAAGCAGACCUCAGUGCAAGAAAGUGUCUUUCCAACACUGAAAAGGUCAAAGGUCAACUUUAACAUUAAAAGGUGUAAAAACAAGUACAAGAUAUUUACAAUAAGCA
ensembl:lncRNA